GAUGAACGCUGGCGGCGUGCCUAAUACAUGCAAGUCGAGCGAACGGACGAGAAGCUUGCUUCUCUGAUGUUAGCGGCGGACGGGUGAGUAACACGUGGAUAACCUACCUAUAAGACUGGGAUAACUUCGGGAAACCGGAGCUAAUACCGGAUAAUAUUUUGAACCGCAUGGUUCAAAAGUGAAAGACGGUCUUGCUGUCACUUAUAGAUGGAUCCGCGCUGCAUUAGCUAGUUGGUAAGGUAACGGCUUACCAAGGCAACGAUGCGUAGCCGACCUGAGAGGGUGAUCGGCCACACUGGAACUGAGACACGGUCCAGACUCCUACGGGAGGCAGCAGUAGGGAAUCUUCCGCAAUGGGCGAAAGCCUGACGGAGCAACGCCGCGUGAGUGAUGAAGGUCUUCGGAUCGUAAAACUCUGUUAUUAGGGAAGAACAUAUGUGUAAGUAACUGUGCACAUCUUGACGGUACCUAAUCAGAAAGCCACGGCUAACUACGUGCCAGCAGCCGCGGUAAUACGUAGGUGGCAAGCGUUAUCCGGAAUUAUUGGGCGUAAAGCGCGCGUAGGCGGUUUUUUAAGUCUGAUGUGAAAGCCCACGGCUCAACCGUGGAGGGUCAUUGGAAACUGGAAAACUUGAGUGCAGAAGAGGAAAGUGGAAUUCCAUGUGUAGCGGUGAAAUGCGCAGAGAUAUGGAGGAACACCAGUGGCGAAGGCGACUUUCUGGUCUGUAACUGACGCUGAUGUGCGAAAGCGUGGGGAUCAAACAGGAUUAGAUACCCUGGUAGUCCACGCCGUAAACGAUGAGUGCUAAGUGUUAGGGGGUUUCCGCCCCUUAGUGCUGCAGCUAACGCAUUAAGCACUCCGCCUGGGGAGUACGACCGCAAGGUUGAAACUCAAAGGAAUUGACGGGGACCCGCACAAGCGGUGGAGCAUGUGGUUUAAUUCGAAGCAACGCGAAGAACCUUACCAAAUCUUGACAUCCUUUGACAACUCUAGAGAUAGAGCCUUCCCCUUCGGGGGACAAAGUGACAGGUGGUGCAUGGUUGUCGUCAGCUCGUGUCGUGAGAUGUUGGGUUAAGUCCCGCAACGAGCGCAACCCUUAAGCUUAGUUGCCAUCAUUAAGUUGGGCACUCUAAGUUGACUGCCGGUGACAAACCGGAGGAAGGUGGGGAUGACGUCAAAUCAUCAUGCCCCUUAUGAUUUGGGCUACACACGUGCUACAAUGGACAAUACAAAGGGCAGCGAAACCGCGAGGUCAAGCAAAUCCCAUAAAGUUGUUCUCAGUUCGGAUUGUAGUCUGCAACUCGACUACAUGAAGCUGGAAUCGCUAGUAAUCGUAGAUCAGCAUGCUGCGGUGAAUACGUUCCCGGGUCU
rnacentral:rRNA from 1 species